CAUCUUUUCUCGCUUGAAGCUGGAAUGAGCACAAAAAGAGCCCUUGGAGCAACAGCCGUACUGUUUAAAAACUGCCGAAUUGAACUCCAAAUAAGCUGAAUGAACGGCACGUUGUAUGCUGCGUUGUUGGAAACGUUAUGUGCUACAGUUUCAACUCAGAAAAACGCCCUGCUUUUAACGAAGCACAACCAUAUAGCCAUACUUUGACUAAUCUCGUACAAGUUUAAAUUAGACGCAGUAUUUGGAGUAUUGGCAAAUUGGCUAUAUUCUACUAAUCAUUAAGAAUCGAGAACAGCAUGGUGAAUCGAAAUAAAAGCUGAUGGUAGAUGAAUAUUUUGUCCUAUCUAGCUCGAAAACGUUUAUUUAUAAUCCUAGUGCUGGAUAAU